rnacentral:rRNA from 1 species
GAUGAACGCUGGCGGCGUGCCUAACACAUGCAAGUCGAGCGAUUCUCUUCGGAGAAGAGCGGCGGACGGGUGAGUAACGCGUGGGUAACCUGCCCUGUACACACGGAUAACAUACCGAAAGGUAUGCUAAUGCGAGAUAAUAUGCUUUUAUCGCAUGGUAGAAGUAUCAAAGCUCCGGCGGUACAGGAUGGACCCGCGUCUGAUUAGCUAGUUGGUAAGGUAACGGCUUACCAAGGCGACGAUCAGUAGCCGACCUGAGAGGGUGAUCGGCCACAUUGGAACUGAGACACGGUCCAAACUCCUACGGGAGGCAGCAGUGGGGAAUAUUGCACAAUGGGCGAAAGCCUGAUGCAGCAACGCCGCGUGAGCGAUGAAGGCCUUCGGGUCGUAAAGCUCUGUCCUCAAGGAAGAUAAUGACGGUACUUGAGGAGGAAGCCCCGGCUAACUACGUGCCAGCCGCCGCAGUAG